AACGAACGCUGGCGGCAUGCCUAACACAUGCAAGUCGAACGAGACCUUCGGGUCUAGUGGCGCACGGGUGCGUAACGCGUGGGAACCUGCCCUUAGGUUCGGAAUAACUCCCCGAAAGGGGUGCUAAUACCGGAUAAUGUCUUCGGACCAAAGAUUUAUCGCCUUUGGAUGGGCCCGCGUUGGAUUAGCUAGUUGGUAGGGUAAAAGCCUACCAAGGCGACGAUCCAUAGCUGGUCUGAGAGGAUGAUCAGCCACACUGGGACUGAGACACGGCCCAGACUCCUACGGGAGGCAGCAGUGGGGAAUAUUGGACAAUGGGCGAAAGCCUGAUCCAGCAAUGCCGCGUGAGUGAUGAGGGCAUUAGGGUUGUAAAGCUCUUUUACCCGGGAUGAUAAUGACAGUACCGGGAGAAUAAGCUCCGGCUAACUCCGUG
rnacentral:rRNA from 1 species